AAUCAACGCUGGCGGCGCGCUUAACACAUGCAAGUCGAACGAGAAAGGGGAGCAAUCCCUGAGUAAAGUGGCGUACGGGUGAGUAACACGUGGAUGAUCUACCUCUUGGCGGGGAAUACCUCUGGGAAACCGGAGACAAUACCGCAUAAGCUCGGAAGAGGAAACCUGAAAAGGGCCGAGAGAGGAGUCCGCGGCCGAUUAGCUAGUUGGUAGGGUAAAAGCCUACCAAGGCAAAGAUCGGUAGCCGGCCUGAGAGGGCACACGGCCACACUGGCACUGAAACACGGGCCAGACUCCUACGGGAGGCAGCAGUGGGGAAUCUUGCACAAUGGGGGCAACCCUGAUGCAGCGACGCCGCGUGAGCGAUGAAGCCCUUC
rnacentral:rRNA from 1 species